GACGAACGCUGGCGGCGUGCUUAACACAUGCAAGUCGAACGGAAAGGCCCUGCUUUUGUGGGGUGCUCGAGUUGCGAACGGGUGAGUAACACGUGAGUAACCUGCCCUUGACUUUGGGAUAACUUCAGGAAACUGGGGCUAAUACCGGAUAGGAGCUCCUGCUGCAUGGUGGGGGUUGGAAAGUUUCGGCGGUUGGGGAUGGACUCGCGGCUUAUCAGCUUGUUGGUUGGGUAGUGGCUUACCAAGGCUUUGACGGGUAGCCGGCCUGAGAGGGUGACCGGCCAAAUUGGGACUGAGAUACGGCCCAGACUCCUACGGGAGGCAGCAGUGGGGAAUAUUGCACAAUGGGCGGAAGCCUGAUGCAGCAACGCCGCGUGCGGGAUGACGGCCUUCGGGUUGUAAACCGCUUUCGCCUGUGACGAAGCGUGAGUGACGGUAAUGGGUAAAGAAGCACCGGCUAACUACGUG
rnacentral:rRNA from 1 species